rnacentral:rRNA from 1 species
AACGAACGCUGGCGGCAGGCUUAACACAUGCAAGUCGAACGAGAUCUUCGGAUCUAGUGGCAGACGGGUGAGGAACACGUGGAACAUCCCUUUCAGUUCGGAAUAACGUUGGGAAACUAACGCUAAUACCGGAUACGUCCUUCGGGAGAAAGAUUUAUCGCUGAAAGAUUGGCCCGCGUCUGAUUAGCUAGUUGGUGAGGUAACGGCUCACCAAGGCUACGAUCAGUAGCUGAUCUGAGAGGAUGAUCAGCCACAUUGGGACUGGGACACGGCCCAAACUCCUACGGGAGGCAGCAGUGGGGAAUAUUGGACAAUGGGCGCAAGCCUGAUCCAGCCAUGCCGCGUGAGUGAUGACGGCCUUCGGGUUGUAAAGCUCUUUUGUCCGGGAAGAUAAUGACUGUACCGGAAGAAUAAGCCCCGGCAAACUUCGUGCCAGCAGCCGCCGUAC